GAUCUUUCUUCUACUGCUUUCUUCUUUGACGCAUGUCCGGCUGGAACCCUAAACCGUAUCGAGCCUUGUGGUGUACUGGCUUUAGAGCCCUGACUAUUCCUUGCAGAUAUCUCCCUAAACCUCUUCUCGCUCGAGCUCCCCUUCCUAUAGUCAACUUGACACCCAUUCUGGUAUUUCUCGACAGUUUUGGCACCAAAAUUCUAUUUCCCUCAGUGACAAAAGUGGCAUUGAC
rnacentral:lncRNA from 1 species